AAAUGUUUCGCUCUAAAGUUGCUCCGAUGCUUUGUCAUUUGAGACUGUUCUUCAUGAGUGCAGGGUGAAGGUCAAGGAGCUAUCUUAACUCCAUCAAUCCUGCAGACAGUUACAAACGACCUUUCACGUCCUAUAAGUUCCUCUAUAUGCCGAAUUGGGGGCGAUACAUAUUUCUGUGUUUAGGGGACUGACUGUGUAAGAAACGUGUUCUUGCGGGGAGCAAUGAGCAUGGCGAGAUCGGUUCUUUCCUUGCCACAUGAUGAUUGAAGCUAAUAUCUCAUUUAAAGAAACAGACUGGUGUUACAAAAGCUGAAAUUGAAGAUGUUGUUGAAAGCACAGAUGGGCUCUCAGAAUAUAAAGAGACUUAUUAGGCCAUGCAGUUGAACACAAAGACAAAAGCAAAUGCGAUCAGUGAGAAUACAUUAAAAAUGCAGCAUAUUUGUAGUGCGGUGUCUUUGUCAAGCUGUUAUUGCUAAUAUUAUGUUGAAAUGAUAGGUUUAUAAAAAUAGUGGAAUGCUACAAAGCAAGUGAAUGAGAGAAAGAACAUACAUUUCUGUUUUAAAAAAUCUUAGGAUGAAACUUAAAUGAACAUUAACAUUGUGGUUGUCUGUGAUUUGUUAUUUACAGAUUUACUAGAGGCAAAAAAAUAAAAAAACUGUAGCUUCCUCAAAGGAAUUACUCAAGACUGAAGAAAAAAAAAAGAAAAAAACUAUUGGAUUUUGAAAAGGAGGCAAGUCUUUGAACAAUUCUUUUAGUUUGUUUACAGAUGUAGAUAUAGAUAUCACACACAAAAAAAAUCAAAAUAAAAUAAAGCCUCCAGUCUGACAGCAUCCUUUUGUGUUUCACGCCACAUUGUCUGUAAUUGUAAUAAGAUGUUUUGGGAGUGUUUCACAUGUGUUUGCUUCAUUUCUGUGCUGUGUUCAGUGGCAUCAGCAGGUGGAGAGACAGACAUGGUGGAACCACAGGCGGAGGGUGAACCAGCUGCAGGGGAAAGCUAUGAAGUCUACGAGGUGGGCAUGCGAUUCUGCAAGGGAUAAGAUUGAAGAAAAAUAAUUCCCAGGAAGCACAGGAAGAGAUGGAGGAGGAAACAUUACAGCAAACCUCUUGCAAGGAGUUCUCAAAGAAUAAAAAUAAACUUUAAGACGAUAAACAGAGAAACCCUGCAGAAAGAAUUGAGAUCGAGACUUUUUUGACCCUUCAUUGACUUCUUUUAGGUGUUUCAAUGAGAACUUGGGAAACACUAAAUUUGGCCUCACAGAAAAAGGUUCAGUCCAAAUCUUUUGAUACCAGUAGGUGCUCCAUGUGAAAGUAAUCUUGAAUGAUGAAUGAAGGCCCAGGCAGAAGUCUGAAUUUUAAGAGCAGAAAUCUCCAGCCCGAAGUCUUGCUAUGUCCAGAAAGUCAUCCGUAUGGAACACCCUGAAGAGGCAAUGGACCAGCUAACAGAAGAGCUCCAAGCAGCCCUGGACAAUCUGAAGAGCCAGACGGGGAAAAUACACCAGUGCGAGGAAAAAAUUGAGAGAUUAAGAGAGAAAAUGGACAGCCACCAAAAAUGGUUUGUAGUCAAACUGGCAUCAGUGCUCCUAUGAAUAAAAAAUGCACUACAAAAAUAAUUUUCCUGUUUUCAGGAAAAUACUGAAGAAUAUAUAAGCAGAGUGUAUAAGAUACUAAAGGGAUAAUGCAUUCAAAAAUGAAAAUGCUGUUAUGCUUUUUAUAUGCAUUUUUAAUUGUAAAAGUUUUAAUCCUAAUUUAAUGUUCAUUGGAAAAAGUGAAAUGACCAUUUAUUUAAACUGAAUUUUUAUAUCAUUCUCACUUAAAAGUCAUGGUUUUCUUUACUAUAUUACAGCGAUAGCUUUGCUUAUGGUGAAAAUAGGUUGUAAAAACCGAAAGAAAAUAGUACAUUG